rnacentral:rRNA from 1 species
GGACAACAGCCAGAAAUGGCUGCUAAUACCGCAUAAGCCUGCGGUGCCGCAUGGCACAGCAGGGAAAACCACGGUGGUACAGGAUGGGCCCGCGUCUGAUUAGUUAGUUGGCAGGGUAACGGCCUACCAAGACGAUGAUCAGUAGCCGGCUUGAGAGAGUGGACGGCCACAUUGGGACUGAGACACGGCCCAGACUCCUGCGGGAGGCAGCAGUGGGGAAUAUUGCACAAUGGGGGGAACCCUGAUGCAGCAAUGCCGCGUGGGUGAAGAAGCACUCCGGUGCGUAAAGCCCUGUCAGCAGGGAAGAAAAUGACAGUACCUGACCAAGAAGCCCCGGCUAACUACGUGCCAGCAGCCGCGGUAAUACGUAGGGGGCAAGCGUUAUCCGGAUUUACUGGGUGUAAAGGGAGCGCAGGCGGUAUGGCAAGUCAGAUGUGAAAACCCAGGGCUCAACCCUGGGACUGCAUUUGAAACUGCCAUACUGGAGUGCCGGAGAGGUAAGUGGAAUUCCUAGUGUAGCGGUGAAAUGCGUAGAUAUUAGGAGGAACACCAGUGGCGAAGGCGGCUUACUGGACGGUAACUGACGCUGAGGCUCGAAAGCGUGGGGAGCAAACAGGAUUAGAUACCCUGGUAGUCCACGCUGUAAACGAUGAAUACUAGGUGUCGGGGUACAUAAGUACCUCGGU